AUAAAGUGGUAGAGACCAACUAAUGGUGUAACUGAUUAGCCUCAGUUUGUUCUACAACACAACUGCACAGUAGCUGCAUCACGCAUGUAACGGAAGGUAUUGCAGUGCAGUCAUGGAUGUAUAAAGAGAAGUAAAAGUAAAGUUAAGACGUAAAGUUGUAAGUUGUAAAGUAAAGUUAGUUAAAGUCUUAAAGUCUAAAAGUUAAAUACGGCGAGAUAGCUAGGUUAUGUUAGCUAAGCUAGCUUAAGCUUAAUACAUUCGCUAUAUGCUAUAUGUAACUCAUAAAUGUUAGCAUACCAUUACCUAAAGGCUAACUUUAGGUUAGCUAAAGUUGUAAAGUAAAGUUCUCUUUAUAUAUCCAUGAGUGCAGUUAGUAAGCAAAUUUUUAUCAAUAUCAGUAUAAGACAAUUUGGUUCAUCCUGAUAUUAUGAUGGAAGUAAGUUAGCUUCAAACUUUCAGUAAACCAAACACCUAGAAAAUGGAAUAAAAAGCAGGUAAUGUUAGCUAAGCUAGCUUUAGCUUAAUACAUUUGCUAUAUACUAUAUGUAGCCCAUAAAUGUUAGCAUACCAUUACCUAAAGGCUAAUUUUAGCUGCUAUCUAACUGCUGUUGAAAAGGUUGUUAGACUAUAUUCUGCAGAUUUUUGUAUCAUUGUGGGGAUUAAUUUAAUCUAUUGACUCUCAAGCACUUUGCUAAACCCUCAUUUAUACCAUAGUAUAACAUGCUGCUACACUGUGGUACAAAAUCCAGACCUUGCCGGUGCAAUAUGUUUUUUUGUGUGUAAUAUCAUCUUCCAGCUGCUGCACCAGUACUUAAAAGUGCUGUGAUGGCAUCGUUCCUAUUUGACUUCUACAAAGACCAAAAAAACAGAAUGGAUUCUGUUUUACCAACUGAAAAGGAGGUUUGAGCCAUGAAGGUCCUGCCUUGCCAAGAUUUAGGAAAUUUAUGGUGUUCCUAAUAAAAUGCUCGGUGAGUAUAAAGCAGGUUGAGGAUGUAUGGAAGCACCUGAGUGAGACCACCCUCUGCUGUAGAGGAGAUGAACUACACCUGAAUGACACCAGAGUCAAGGGAAGGAAAUGACAAGUGUGUGUGUUUGUGUGUGUGUGUGUGUGUGUGUGUAUCUUGUUGAUAAGCACGGCCUUGUCUCGACUCAUACAGUUCCUCAUCAUGUGGUUUUAAUAACAAAGUGUUUUUUUCUGUUGAGUUGACGGUAAUUUAUGUCUUCCUGCUUUCAAACUGUGAGAAAAAACUGCCUCCUGCACAAAAUAAUACUCUCAGGACACUCUGCUACACAACACACACACACAAAACAGACUCCAUAUGCUUCACUGUGAACAUAUACACCAUGUACCCGACUGUGUGUGUGUUUGGAGGGACCGGGGGGCCACCCAGCUGUUGACCAGCCCAGACAGAGAAGUUGUUAUCUAGGCAGCCACAGCCCUGGAGGAAGGGCUACCUAAAUUAUUUGUGGAUAAAUGCACAAAGAAAGAGAGUUCAACAUCUGCUGUGUGCAUUAGUGACAUGUAGAAACGAUCAAAUUAAUAUCCGUUGUUAACCAAAUGCAGGCAGAGUGAAUGUGACUCUAUCUGUAGUGUUUCAGAUCCUAUAAUACAUCACCUGGCGCCUUCAUCACAAAGCAACAACUUAGUCCGUCUCUAUUUGGGUCACCUGGCUUCACUGAGCCUAACGCUGGUGAUUCUUGAUAGAGAACGGAGAUACAUACCUGCAGGGAACUUUUAAUAUUGCAUCAACAAAAACCUGUUCAGCAUGGUGAAAUAUACACAAUAUAAUCACACAACUAGAACUGAAGAAGAGGCUCUAGAAACAUUAUUUUAUUUAACCUUUAACCAGAAGUAAAAGACUCUUUUUGGCACAAACAAGAUAUAAAACAAACAUAAUUUAAAAUGAGAACAAAGAACAAAUUACAGAAUUUCAAAAUAUCAAAAAACAUUAAUCGACAUUCAAAACAUCAUUUAGAAUCACAUUAAAUGCGUCCAAUGAGAGCAGCUCCCCAAGAUUCAGGUCAUUUUGCAACUGAUUCAAAGCUGAGGGAGCAGUUAGUAUGUAAACGCUCUUUUUCCCAGUUCAGUACGAAUUUAGGGACAGUUAGUAGGAAUAAAUCCUGGGAGCAAAGACAAUAACUUCCCAUAUUUUUUUGUAGGAUGUUGAUCCAUCAGUAGGAAGGAAGCAGUCCAAGAACAGCCUCAUAAAUAAGAAUAUACCAAUCGUUAAGACGAGGCAGCCCGUCCAACCUGAGUAUACAAAGAUCUGAACAUAAGACUAAAGCUUACUACAAAGAGUGUUCAUAAGUGUAGUGAGUAUGGAAGAGUUGAAAAUUAGCAAUAGCUAUAAACUCUCUGUGCAGUACAUCAGUUUCAUGCUCUGUAUCGGAACUAUGUUAAAUUGCAUCGUCCCUAU